CAGUUUUCGUUCAUUUUUUAUUCAUUUCUAUUACAUAUAUAGAGUGAAUAGCUAAUGAUCGAGUAAUCUGACGCGCAUGCGCUAACAUUCUAGAACAAAAGCAGUUGUUUUGUCAGGACGAUCAACAUUUUUGAGGUUACAUACAUCGCAGUGACCUGUCAUUUGAACUUAUGACGAUUGGUCAACCUGAUAAAACAA